GGGGGGAAGGAGUGUGCUCCAUGCAGUCAGGGAAGUGGCCUCCAUCACUUCUGCCUGCAUUCCACUGGCGAGGGCUCAGUGAAUGCUUCCUGUUGCAUUCGGAAAUGAAUUUUCCUGUGUGCUCAGGAGGAAAAGAAGAAUUUGGGUGAACAUGUAGCAGUCUCUCUGCUCCAUCAACAUAAAGAGAAGCUAAAUGUUACCACGUGAGGUAGGCAGGACUGACCUUGACCGGCAUCCCUAUCAGCAGCUCAGGGGGAUUAAGUGGCUUGCCAAUGUCACAAGAAAGAAUGCAGUCAGAACAAGUCCAAGGGCGGUCCUAGUAGCAUCCUCUGAUUCAGCUCAACAUCCUCUCCCACAGGAACACAAGAAACAAAUGCUGCCUCUGCCCAGCUGUUCCUCACAGGGCCGCGCUCUUUCCAGUGGCUCCUCAUCAAGUUACCAAGCCGCAAGCCACUGCCUCAGCCAGACACCUUGGAGGACUCUGAUGACCUGUGGCAGCUUUGAGCAGCCCAUCUCUGUCAGUUUACUUCCCAAUAGUGUAGAGUUAAGAUGUGGGACCUUCAUGGAGAACUAAGAAUCCUGCACUUCUCUCCUCAAUUUCCUUACUGGACUGACAUGUCAGACAUUUAUUCAGCAUCUAAUUUGUGCCAGAGCCUAUGCUACCACCAUUAGUAAAAAGAUGAAAAAGACAAUCUUAUCCAAGAGGAGCUCAGAGUGGAGGUGGGGCUGGGACAGCAGAAGAGACAGAGAGCACCAUAUGGUAAGUGCCCUGGAAGCCAGGGGGCACCUAACAGUGCUAGGCAGGUGGAGUCAGAGAAGCCGUCUCCAAGCUGUCCUGUAUGCACAGCCAUGGAGAAGAGGAAAGGGUAGGGGAAGACUUCUAGGCAGAAUGAGGGGCAAAUGCUAAGGCCCAGACCUGGAGAGCAGAGUUCUUUCAGGACACUGAAAUGUUUCCACGAGGUUGGGGAAGAGUAGGAGUUUGACAACAGCUAAAGCCAGAAUAAUAGGCAAAAAAAUCAGAUCUUGAAAGAUGGUGUAUACCGUAUUGAGGAAAUAUGUGAGACUUUGUCCUUACACUGAGGGCGCUGGAAAACCAUUGGAAAUGGUGACUUGAUCAAGUUUACAGUCAGGAAGAUACCACUGGCUGAAAAGGGAGGACAAUAUAUUUUCUAGAAGCUACCAAUUGACCGACUGGCUAAUUAACACAAGUUAAGGUGCUAAUGGCUCUUUCUUUCAUUCACCAAACAUUUAAUGAACACUCACUAUGUAUCAAACACUAUGUUUGGUUUUGGAAACAUAAUGAUACAUAAGAUGAGUUUCAUACCUUGAAAGAGCUCACAGUCUCAUGGGGAGGAAAGAAUAAGGGAUCUUUAUGACGAAUAUUAUAGAAAUACACAAGAGGGAGAGACCAAGUAGAAGAAGAUGGGAGACCUCACGGAGGAAGUGAUAUUGCCUAGGAUCUUGAAGGAUGAGUCUGUGAAAGGGCAGGAAUACGUUGUUUCAAUGAAAGGAAGCAUCAUUUGCAUCAGCGUAGGGACACAAUGUUCCUGGUGUGCACAAGGCCUAGCAGAGUGAUAUACCUGAGCUACAAGGAAAAUGAAUUGGUUGGAAAUGAAGUCCCAAGGCCCAGUUAUAAAAGACCUCAUGAGCCUUUUUGACAAUGACAAAAUUAGGCAACAAGGAAUGACAGAUUUUUAAGGGAGUGAGGGUUGGUGAAAUAAAAUUCACACUUUAGAGAAUUGUCUGGAGAAUAGGACUGAAGAACAGAGACUGGCAGCAGGGAGACUAGUCACAAAGCUGAGGCAGUAGUUCAAGUGGAAGCUGACGAGAACUGGAACUAUGAGAAGCAGUAGGAAUGGAGAGGGGCGAACCAAUCCUGGGUCAGUAGACGCCAUCUUAGAAAACAUUUUCACGUUAAAUCAUCCAUCAAUUCCCAAAGUAAGCCUCAGAAAUAUGCUUUUAUUCUGCUUUCUCAAAAUUUUGUCAAAGUCUAACUAUGUUUUAAAAAUCAAGCCCUAGUAGAACCGUCUUUUAUCAUUUGAAAUUCUUAUGGAAGUCCUCCGAGGGAACAGACUGCAUCACUAAGGAAAAUGCUGAAAGGGGAAAAUGAGGAUUUGAUGCAAAGUCAGGAAGGAGGAAAACUCUGGGAGCAAAUGUCAGAGACUACAAAGGCAAACACCUCCAGGAGCCAGAUUCAGGUGCAAAUCAUUAGCUUUUCUAACCAACAUGCUGGUGAAACUACAUCCAAACCCACAAAUGUAAAAAAUGUGGACACAGAAGCAGGACUCAUCAGUGUAAGAGUUCUGGAAACCCAGGCAGAACAAGGACACUUCUGCAGUGCAGGCUGAGCCUUGAGCAAAAUUGCAUCCAACAUCCUAUUCCUAUGUUGCAGCAACAAGAACACCAGAGAAGAAAGAGCACGAAGUGGAGUCUCCAUUGCCAAGGCUGUAUGGACCCUCCGCUGAGCCCAUGUAAAACUCCUCCCUGAACGCAGAGUUCGGGACUGAUUUUCCAUCUGGCCUAACGAGAGUCUGAAGUUGCUGAAUCAAACGGAGCCAAUAGGUCUGACUUGAGCUGGCUGAAACAUGCACAGAACUGGGAAAGACAAAUAGUCUUCUUUCUGAAAGGCCUAUCAAGCCAAAGCCUGCUCCUCCCCCAUCCUGCCUGCUUCAGCUCAUAGUCCUGAAAGAGAGCACAUCCUGUUCUUCCAACUCCAGAGACGCUGCUGCCUGUGGAGCAAUAGCAGGCCUGGGGGUAUUUCUACCCAAGAAGCCGGCUGUGUGAAGAGGAAGGAUGGCCUCAUUAAGUGCAAGGACAUUGUCAUACAGACCUGGUUCCCAUGCUAGCAUCCUGAGUGCCAAGACCAGAGAAGCCUGGAGUGGUCUACUGACCUCUAGCAGCCCCAGAGAAAACAUGGAAGAGCUGUGCAAGUUUCCGCACAUUCGAGAAGAAUUCAGGAGUAGUGGAGGCCUGAUUGACCCUGGGAGUCUCCUGCAGAAGUGACAGAUGGACAUUGAGGCAGAAAACAGCAAGACCAACUGGGCUCAUGGACACUCCUGGAACGUCAGCAAGCAGAGGCAUCACGGAUACAAGCAGAUGCAUCCCAGGGGAGGCGGCCCUCGCCAGGAUCCCAUAUCGGUUCUGCACACCAUCGGGGAAGGAAGACAAUAGAGAAAAUCCAGAAUUCACUGGACUCUAAGAUGACAAGUCUGAGAGAACACAGAGGUUUUGUAGAAAGGAUUAUACUUGUGUGUUCUGACAUUAAGCGCAUUGUUUCAUUAUAGAAAAUAAUGUAUGUUUCCUGCACACCCAAGUUUGUGGCUUAAGA
rnacentral:lncRNA from 1 species